AACGAACGCUGGCGGCGUGCCUAACACAUGCAAGUCGUGCGAGAAAGUUUCCUUCGGGGAGCUAGUAAAGCGGCGCACGGGUGAGUAACACGUAGGUAAUCUACCUCUAAGUCCGGAAUAACCAGCUGAAAGGCUGGCUAAUGCCGGAUAAGACCACGGCCUCUGCGGGGGCUGCGGCCAAAGGUGGCCUCUUCAUGAAAGCUAUUGCUGAGAGAUGAGCCUGCGUACCAUUAGCUGGUUGGUGAGGUAACGGCUCACCAAGGCUGUGAUGGUUAGCUGGUCUGAGAGGAUGACCAGCCACACUGGGACUGAGACACGGCCCAGACUCCUACGGGAGGCAGCAGUGGGGAAUAUUGCGCAAUGGGGGAAACCCUGACGCAGCGACGCCGCGUGGGUGAUGAAGGCCUUCGGGUCGUAAAGCCCUGUCGUAGGGGAAGAACUGGUUGCAGGCUAAUAUCCUGCAGCCUUGACGAUACCCUACAAGAAAGCACCAGCUAACUCCGUGCCAGCCGCCGCAGUAACAC
rnacentral:rRNA from 1 species